UACGUAGGGGGCUAGCGUUGUCCGGAAUCAUUGGGCGUAAAGCGCGUGUAGGCGGUCCGGUAAGUCCGCUGUGAAAGUCAAGGGCUCAACCCUUGAAUGCCGGCCGAUACUGUCAGGCUAGAGUCCGGAAGAGGCGAGUGGAAUUCCUGGUGUAGCGGUGAAAUGCGUAGAUAUCUGGAGGAACACCGGUGGCGAAGGCGGCGUUCUGGACUGCAACUGACACUGAGGAACGAAAGCCAGGGAGCAAACGGG
rnacentral:rRNA from 1 species